CAGCGCACACAAAUAUAACCAAAAAAAAUUACAAUCUACAAUAUUUUUGAAAUAUGUGAUACCCCAGAAAUAUUUGAUCCGGGAGAAUAUCCACACAAUAUCUUAACACGCAAUAACUUUGAAAAACCUAGAUUAUUCACCUCUCUAUAUAUACCGACGAUUAAGAAGAAGCUAACAUCCAUUUACAACUCAUAAUGGCAUGAUACCCCAAGAAAUAUGGUUUUUAUCGACGAUCUCAAGCCCUACAAAGACGAAUGGCGAGUUCGUGUCAAAGCUCUUCAUUCUUGGAAACCGAAACCCAUUUUUGGAGGGGAGACUCUUGAUUUCAUACUAGCACACAAGACUUUAUAAGCUUCAUGUGUUAGUGAAAUAUGACACUUGAUCAUCCGAGUUAAUGUUGCUUGAUACUGUGGCUACAAGUAUUAUUGGUGAUAAAGUUGUUGAACUUUGGGACAGGUCAUAUGAUGAGAUUGAAGACCAAGAUAUUCCUAUCCAAAACAUGGUAGGAAAAUCGUUUUGUUUUGGGCUUUCCAUCACCGCUGAUAAUGUGACCAACGGAUCAGCUACAUUUAAGUUUGUUGUUUGGCUUUUUUGUUUCAUGUUGUUUUUGGAAUUUCUGGAUUUUGUUUGGAUUUCGUUUUUUUCAAUACUUUUCAUUUAAAUUCUAUUUUUAAUCAAUAAACUUGGCUUUUACUAAUAAUCAUGUCAACCAGUUAAACUAAGACCAUAGUAAUGUACAAGUCGAUUCCAUAAUUACCUUACCAGCAACUUAGCAUGUAACACUCUCACUAUAAUUUUUUGUAUAGUACUACAAUAGGUAUAAUUAACUCAUAAUCAUUUCGA